GUUUGUUCCCAAACUUCCUACGGGGGGGCAGCCGGGGGGGAAUUUCUUCACAAUUGGGCGGCAAGCCUUGAUGCAACCCAAGCCCGUUUGGGUGAAGAAGGCCUUGGGGGUUGUAAAACCAUUUUUCAGCGAGGAGGAAGGGUGGGAACCCUAAUACGCUCCUCAAUUGACGUUACUGGCAGAAGAAGCACCGGUUAAGUACGUGCCAGCAGCCGCGGUAAUACGGAGGGUGCAAGCGUUGAUCGGAAUUACUGGGCGUAAAGCGCACGCAGGCGGUUUGUUAAGUCAGAUGUGAAAUCCCCGGGCUCAACCUGGGAACUGCAUUUGAAACUGGCAAGCUAGAGUCUCGUAGAGGGGGGUAGAAUUCCAGGUGUAGCGGUGAAAUGCGUAGAGAUCUGGAGGAAUACCGGUGGCGAAGGCGGCCCCCUGGACGAAGACUGACGCUCAGGUGCGAAAGCGUGGGGAGCAAACAGGAUUAGAUACCCUGGUAGUCCACGCUGUAAACGAUGUCGAUUUGGAGGUUGUGCCCUUGAGGCGUGGCUUCCGGAGCUAACGCGUUAAAUCGACCGCCUGGGGAGUACGGCCGCAAGGUUAAAACUCAAAUGAAUUGACGGGGGCCCGCACAAGCGGUGGAGCAUGUGGUUUAAUUCGAUGCAACGCGAAGAACCUUACCUACUCUUGACAUCCAGAGAACUUUCCAGAGAUGGAUUGGUGCCUUCGGGAACUCUGAGACAGGUGCUGCAUGGCUGUCGUCAGCUCGUGUUGUGAAAUGUUGGGUUAAGUCCCGCAACGAGCGCAACCCUUAUCCUUUGUUGCCAGCGGUUCGGCCGGGAACUCAAAGGAGACUGCCAGUGAUAAACUGGAGGAAGGUGGGGAUGACGUCAAGUCAUCAUGGCCCUUACGAGUAGGGCUACACACGUGCUACAAUGGCGUAUACAAAGAGAAGCGACCUCGCGAGAGCAAGCGGACCUCAUAAAGUACGUCGUAGUCCGGAUUGGAGUCUGCAACUCGACUCCAUGAAGUCGGAAUCGCUAGUAAUCGUAGAUCAGAAUGCUACGGUGAAUACGUUCCCGGGCCUUGUACACACCGCCCGUCACACCAUGGGAGUGGGUUGCAAAAGAAGUAGGUAGCUUAACCUUCGGGAGGGCGCUUACCACUUGGAUCCAGCCGGA
rnacentral:rRNA from 1 species